rnacentral:lncRNA from 1 species
GCCGGCUCUCAUCGGCUGUGGGAGCAGGAGGCCCCCAGGGAUUUACAGGAGCAUUGUGACUGGACCAAGGACAAAGAAGUUCCCAACCUCCUCGGACCCUCGCUGCUGCCCAGAUGUCUGCCAUGGGGUACUUCUUGACCACACCCUCCUUCUCUUCCCUGCCCUUAACAUAGAAAGAGCCUAAGAUUGUACUGACUUAAAAUGGUACUUUAGAACGCUAGUACACCAUCCUCUCAGUCUUGCUGGCUUUCAGAAUAAAUCAGUAAACCUAC